rnacentral:rRNA from 2 species
UACGUAGGGUGCGAGCGUUAAUCGGAAUUACUGGGCGUAAAGUGUGCGCAGGCGGCCGAGCAAGUCGAGUGUGAAAGCCCCGAGCUUAACUUGGGAACUGCGCUCGAAACUACUUGGCUAGAGUGUGGCAGAGGGAGGUGGAAUUCCACGUGUAGCGGUGAAAUGCGUAGAUAUCGGGAGGAACACCAGUGGCGAAGGCGACUUCCUGGCCUGUUCUUGACGCUGAGGCGCGAAAGCUAGGGGAGCAAACGGG